rnacentral:tRNA from 1 species
GCCCGGGUGGCGAAACUGGUAGACGCUACGGACUUAAAAUCCGUUGACCGUAAAAGGUCGUGCCGGUUCAAGUCCGGCCCUGGGCACCA